rfam:Ailuropoda melanoleuca scaffold386_92, whole genome shotgun sequence.
UCCUGGCUGGCUCAGUUGGUGGAGCAUGAGACUCUUGAUCUCAGGUUGUGGGUUCGAGCCCCACAUUGGGUG